GUUUUCCACUAUUUUUUCUUCUUCAAUAAAAGAACUUUACAUACCGAAAUACUUCAUCGUUCACGCGGCGUUGCUCGGUCAGAGUUUCCUCCAUUGCCGAAAAUUCCCUACUGCUGCCUCCCGUAGGAGUUUGGGCCGUGUCUCAGUCCCAAUGUGGCUGUUCGACCCCACCAGCUACACAUCAUCGUCUUGGUAGGCCAUUAACCCAACUAAUGUGGCGCAAGCUCAUCUUUAACAUACCUUCCGAAAAAGGUCUUAAAAAUAAAAAGAUGCC
rnacentral:rRNA from 1 species